UAAACUUUAACAGAAAGACUUAAUUUAUGAAUUUCAUUUCCCAAGAGUUUACAUCCAUGGAGCUACUAAUCGAACAUAACAAACAUCCAAAAAGAAGCUCUACAUUCCUAUUUUUCACUUCUAACGUCCGAUCAGCAUUAGUGAAAUUUCAAAUAGAACAUUGCUUACAAUUCUCCAACCCAAAAAUUUUGCAGGACAGGUAUAACAAUUUUUACUUGUUAAAGCAAACCUUCCCCAAGCUUGAAUUGAACAUGAGUUUUCCUUGCACUUGCUUUUCUUAUAGGACACCUUAGUCUUUGCUUCUUCAGAGCUUAACCUCCACAUCAACCCCAGCAGGAAGGUCGAGUUGCAUCAAUGAAUCAA
rnacentral:misc_RNA from 1 species